rnacentral:lncRNA from 1 species
UGUUUUCUAUAUGUUUCGAGUAAUAACCUCAAAUUUCAUACCAUGAACUUUAUAAGAGUCAUCAGAUUUUACUGUGAGUAUGUAAGUAUAAACAGUAAAAUUAAACUUUAUGAUUGUCAACAGAGCCGGUCCUAGGAAUCUAGGGGCCAGAAGCAAAAAAAAAAAUAUUGGGCCGAUUAGUAUUAAUAUUAAGUAUUAACACUGAAUAAAAAAUAAUUGUAUUGUGAUGGGGGAAGAGUUCAAACUCAUCACCUUCGACAGUUAACCAUAGUGCCAUGACCAAAUUAGCUAAAGGAACUUACUGUCAAAUUGCG